CCUACGGGUGGCUGCAGUGGGGAAUAUUGGACAAUGGGGGGAACCCUGAUCCAGCCAUGCCGCGUGUGUGAAGAAGGCCCUCGGGUUGUAAAGCACUUUCAGUGAGGAAGAACGCCUGGUGGUUAAUACCCAUCAGGAAAGACAUCACUCACAGAAGAAGCACCGGCUAACUCCGUGCCAGCAGCCGCGGUAAUACGGAGGGUGCGAGCGUUAAUCGGAAUUACUGGGCGUAAAGCGCGCGUAGGUGGCUUGAUAAGCCGGUUGUGAAAGCCCCGGGCUCAACCUGGGAACGGCAUCCGGAACUGUCAAGCUAGAGUGCAGGAGAGGAAGGUGGAAUUCCCGGUGUAGCGGUGAAAUGCGUAGAGAUCGGGAGGAAUACCAGUGGCGAAGGCGGCCUUCUGGACUGACACUGACACUGAGGUGCGAAAGCGUGGGUAGCAAACAGGAUUAGAUACCCUUGUAGUC
rnacentral:rRNA from 1 species